rnacentral:rRNA from 1 species
UACAGAGGUCUCAAGCGUUGUUCGGAUUCAUUGGGCGUAAAGGGUGCGUAGGCGGCGCGGUAAGUCGGGUGUGAAAUCUCGGAGCUUAACUCCGAAACUGCAUUCGAUACUGCCGUGCUUGAGGACUGGAGAGGAGACUGGAAUUUACGGUGUAGCGGUGAAAUGCGUAGAUAUCGUAAGGAAGACCAGUGGCGAAGGCGACUUUCUGGCCUAUAACUGACGCUGAGGCGCGAAAGCGUGGGGAGCAAACAGG